rnacentral:sRNA from 1 species
AAUUGCGGGCUAUCCGAUGCGUAUCGAAAAAGUCUGAGAAAAGGCCGAUUUUAGCGCCAAAAAAUGAUUUUGAAAAAUUUGCACUUAUAACAGUACAAUCUGAAUGUUGUAUAUGUUCAGUUUAAAUACAACAUACAACAAUAAUAACAAACAACAACAACAACAACAAUUAUCGCAACAGCAACAACAACCACAACAAUCACCGCAAGAAAAAGGAGUUAUAUAUUGUUUUUUUUUUAUUUUUUAAAUUCAAAACCCCCGACAAACACAACAAUACUACGAGAAGCAGCUAACUAAGCCCGGCUCCAUUCAUAAAGCAAUGAAAACCAAACAGAGAGCGACCAGAAUCGGUUGUUAACCAAGUGCACUAGCCGGAUAUUGGAUAUACGUCGUCUAUAUAUAUAUAUUUCGGAUAUAAACACGGCUCGCCCAGUCGAAGGAAAAAUUUCUCUCCUUCGACAUCGCCAUCGCCAUCGCCCUCGCCAAUCGUCAAUCGCCUUCGAGGAUACCCAGCAAUUGGAGUCUCUGCAUCGCAAUAUAAUUAAGGAAACAGAAUGCCUCCAGUAGUAGCACUAUUGCCGGCCCUUGGAGCAGCAUCUGUUGUCUGUGGCUCCCGUGCCUUCUAUUGAGAGGAGCCCCGGAGCGCUGAGAAUCUGGAGCAGGGGUGUGAACAGAUAUUGCCGAGCAUGAAGCAACGGACCGCUACGCAGCACUAUCCCUCAAUCAGCAACCGAUUUGUAUCAAUCACAAGCCGUAUAAGCAGAGCAGCAUCUAAUAAAUUGUCUGGAUCAGGAGCAGGAGCAGGACCAGGAGAAGGAGCAGGAGCAGGAGCAGGAGCACCUGGUGGCAUAGACAAAUUCGUGGCCAGUCAGAGGAGGAGGAGGAGGUGGUCGUCGGCCACAUAAGACUAGAUCCUCUCCCCCACCCCCACCCUGAACAAGGAGCAGCGCCAGAGGAGGAGCAGGAGGGACACGAACUGCAUAAGGAGCAGGAGCUGCCGGAGGAGCGGAGCGGAGAGGAGACGGAGACGGAGACGGCCCGGGCGUGUGUGU